rnacentral:rRNA from 1 species
GACGAACGCUGGCGGCGUGCUUAACACAUGCAAGUCGAGCGGUAAGGCCCUUUCGGGGGUACACGAGCGGCGAACGGGUGAGUAACACGUGGGUGACCUGCCCUUAGCUCUGGGAUAAGCCUGGGAAACUGGGCCUAAUACCGGAUAUGACUCCAUGACGCAUGUUGUGGGGUGGAAAGCCUUGUGCGGCUAGGGAUGGGCCCGCGGCCUAUCAGCUUGUUGGUGGGGUGAUGGCCACCAAGGCGACGACGGGUAGCCGGCCUGAGAGGGCGACCGGCCACACUGGGACUGAGACACGGCCCAGACUCCUACGGGAGGCAGCAGUGGGGAAUCUUGCGCAAUGGGCGAAAGCCUGACGCAGCGACGCCGCGUGGGG